rnacentral:rRNA from 1 species
AUUGAACGCUGGCGGCAUGCUUUACACAUGCAAGUCGAACGGUAACAGGGUGCUUGCACCGCUGACGAGUGGCGAACGGGUGAGUAAUGCGUCGGAACGUGCCGAGUAGUGGGGGAUAACGCAGCGAAAGUUGUGCUAAUACCGCAUACGUACUGAGGUAGAAAGUGGGGGACCUUCGGGCCUCACGCUAUUCGAGCGGCCGACGUCUGAUUAGCUAGUAGGUGAGGUAAAGGCUCACCUAGGCGACGAUCAGUAGCGGGUCUGAGAGGAUGAUCCGCCACACGGGGACUGAGACACGGCCCAGACUCCUACGGGAGGCAGCAGUGGGGAAUUUUGGACAAUGGGCGAAAGCCUGAUCCAGCCAUGCCGCGUGUCUGAAGAAGGCCUUCGGGUUGUAAAGGACUUUUGUCCGGGAGCAAAUACCCAGUGCUAAUAACGCUGGGGGCUGAGAGUACCGGAAGAAUAAGCACGGGCUAACUACGUGCCAGCCGCCGCGGUAA